rnacentral:lncRNA from 1 species
CUAAGUAAAGCUGCGGUCCUUGACAUUCUCCAUCAUUUGUUUUGGCGACAUCCUCGGUGCCAUCAAUGCAUGAUAUGUUUCAAUUAAUGGUUUGAAGGCUCCAAGAUCUUUUUCUCUUUUCCAAGUAUUCUCCUCGCGUCUGCAUCCAAUCCAUUUAAGCAAGUACUUCUAAUGAUCUUUUCUAGAAGCUCGAGUGAUUCGAUGGUCAAAAAUAGCUUCAGCAACUUUCUUUCCAGGUUUCUUUAGUUCAAACACAGUUCGCUUUGGUUCAUUUCUAGAUGCAUCCUCCUUAUCUGCAAAGUAUGGCUUCAGUACACUAUCAUGAAGGACAUUGUGAAUUUUACACCAUGAAGGGAGUUCAACUCUGUAUGCAACUCUUCCAAUCCUCUUCACGAUGGGUAAAGGUCCAAUGUAUUUUAGUGUCAGUCUUGAGUCCUUUCCUCUUGUUAGUUUGUAAAUAUUUUUGUCGGGAAGCUUAACCAUUACCAGAUCUCCAACGUUGAAUUUAAUGAAACGGCGCUUUAGAUCUACAGCCUUUUUAUAACGUUUUUGAGCUUUUUCAAGAUAACUCUGAACAAUUUCAAUAUUCCGUUUCCACUCUUGAGAAAAGCUUUUUGCUUGAGGGGACUUGGUACUUCGUUCGAUAUCCACUGUAUAAGAGAGUAGUGGUUGCUCGCUAGUAACAAUCUAAAAAGGAUUCUUAUUGGUGGAAGAGCUCUUUUGGGUACUGAAGCAAAUCUGAGCCGCAUUUAAAAGUUUUACCUAGUUUUUUCUGCGAAGUAGAGAUAAAGUGCCAAAGAUAUUCUUCUAGCAUGGAAUUGAAGCGCUCUGUCUGUCCGUCAGAUUGUGGGUGAAAACUAGAACUCAUGCUCAAAGUUGAACCACGAAGUUUGAACAACUCAAUCCAAAAUAUGCCGGUGAAACUAGGAUCUCGAGCACUGACGAUGUCCUAAGGCAGUCCCCAAUAUUUGACAAUAUGUUUAAAGAAGAGUUGAGCUGUCUUUUUCGCGAAUACAUACUUAAGCGCUGCAAUAAAUGUUGUGUAUUUUUAUAGAUGGUACACCAUGACUAUGACAGUGCCAAAAUCCUUAACUUUUGACAACCCAAUAAUGUAGUUCAUCCAUACACUUUCGAAUGGCCGGGUUAGGACGAAAAGGGGCUCUAGCAAGCCCGCCUUUUUCUGAUAAACUGCCUUAUCUUGCUGACAAACAAGAUAGAUUUUUACAUAGGUUGCAAUGUCGUCCCACAUUUGAGGCCAGUAAUAUGCACGUUGUAGUAGUGCACAAAAGCGUUCCUCUCUAGGAUGCCCUACCCAAAUCGUGUCAUGACAUUCUGUAAUUAGUGUUUUCCUCAAAUCUUUGCCCUUAGGAACAUAUAGGCGGUCUCCCUUUGUCUUCACUAGUUCCCCAUCGAGCCAGAACUGUCGAGUUUUACCUUGCUUGAUGAGGUCGACCAAAUAUUGAGUUGUCGGGUCCUUCUUCAUAAGUACCUGAAUUUGGUCUCAUGUGUUCAUGGUGACGGCAUUCCUUAAAAGUGCAGCUAUGGAGCAAAUGGCAUCCAAAUUGACCCCUCGACUUAGAGCAUCAGCAACAUGAUUAUUAGAUACGGUACGAUACUCUAGCAUAAAAUUGAACUCUAAAAGAAAUUCCUGCCAAUGAGCCUGCUUGCUCGAUAGUUUUGGUUGGGAAAUGAAGUGACUAACCGCAGUGUUAUCUAUUUUCACAAUAAAUGGAGAACCAAGCAAAUAGUGACGCCAUCUUCUGAGACAAUGGACUACUGCCAACAAUUCAUUUUCAUGUGCUGAGUAACGACAUUCUGUUUGAUUUAACUUCCGGCUCUCAUAUGCUACCGGAUGUUCUUCUUGCAUGAGGACUCCACCAAGUGCAAAAUGUGAAGUAUCUGUAUGAACUUCAAAUGGUUUAGUCAUAUUCGAUAAGGCUGAAAUCAAGCUCGUCCACAUGGACUUCUUCAACCUUUCAAAAGCAGUUUGGCAUUGGGAUGACCAAUCCCCAUCUUUAUCCUUCUUUGUCAACUCGGUAAGUGGCAGUACAAUUUCUGAGUAGCCUUUCACAAAUUUUCGAUAGUAAUUGCAUAACCCAAGAAAUGAACAUACAUCAUGUACAGUUUUUGGUGGUUGCCAAUCUUUGAUGGCUGUAACCUUCUUCAAAUCUAUGCGGAUUUUACCUUGUUCAAUGAUGUGAUCCAAGAAACUGACAGAUGUCUGAACAAAUUAGCAUUUAGAUAGUUUGGCAUAGAGUUCAUUCUCCCGUAGCUGAUUAAAAACUUGCCAUGUUGGACAUGUUUUUCUGAUGUCCUGCUGUACAUUACUAUGUCGUUCAAGUACACCACGACAAAUUCAUCUAAGAACCCGUGAAGUACCUGAUUCAUCAUAGCAUAAAACAUUGCUGGAGCAUUUGUCAAACCAAAAGACAUCACUUUAAAUUUAAAGGCUCCAUAUCUGGUUACCACCGCAGUCUUUGCUUCGUCUCCCUCCUUGAUCCAAACUUGCUAGUAUCCGGACCUAAGAUCAAUUUUUGUGUAAUACUUCGUCCGAUUCAGUCGAUCGAAGCAAUCCACAACCAGUGGAAUAGGAUAACUAUUCUUUAUAGUAAUCUUGUUCAAGGCUCGAUAGUCACAGCACAUUCUAAGAGAACCAUCUGCCUUUUUCUGAAACAAUACAGGAGCUCCGUAUGGCGACUUCACAGGCACAAUGAUUCCACUCUCCAACAUUUCUCCUAAUUGCUUCCUAAGCUCUUCAAGCUCAGGCUUAGACAUACGGAAUGGUGCCCUGGCGGGAGGUUUGGCACCUGGAAUAAGUUUAAUCUCAUGAUCAAUCAUUCUUCUUGGUGGUAAUUUCUUUGGUAAUUCAUCUGGCA